UGUCUCCUCCACCCUCCUCCUUUGGUGUGGAUUAAACGCAGCCCGUUCGGGUUGCGUUUUUUUUC
rnacentral:ncRNA from 1 species